ensembl:snoRNA
ACCCCCUCUUUCACUUUGCCAAGUAGACAUUUCUUGUCUUCCUUGGUCAUUCAGUUGGGGUAAAAUAAGUCCUUUUAAAACCCAAGCAAACAAACAAUGAUUGUUUAGCUUGGAUCCUGUCAGGGGAAACACUG